rnacentral:misc_RNA from 1 species
GAUAAGAACGUAGUGAAAUGCGAUAAGUAAUGUGAAUUGCAGAAUUCAGUGAAUCAUCGAAUCUUUGAACGCACAUUGCGCCCGCCAGUAUUCUGGCGGGCAUGCCUGUUCGAGCGUCAUUUCAACCAUCAAGCCCCCGGGCUUGUGUUGGGGACCUGCGGCUGCCGCAGGCCCUGAAAAGCAGUGGCGGGCUCGCUGUCACACCGAGCGUAGUAGCAUACAUCUCGCUCUGGGCGUGCUGCGGGUUCCGGCCGUUAAACCACCUUUUAACCCAAGGUUGACCUCGGAUCAGGUAGGAAGACCCGCUGAACUUAAGCAUAUCAAUAAGCGGAGGA